GACGAACGCUGGCGGCGUGCUUAACACAUGCAAGUCGAACGAAGUGGCGAACGGGUGAGUAACGCGUAAUCAACCUGCCCUUCAGAGGGGGACAACAGUUGGAAACGACUGCUAAUACCGCAUACUGAAGGAGGGGAUUGAGUCUGAUGAGCUAGGUGGAGGGGUAACGGCCAACAAAGGCGAUGAUCAGUAAACGGGCUUAGAGGAUGAACGGCCACAGUGGGACUGAGACACGGCCCAGACUCCUACGGUAGGCAGCAGUGGGUAAGCUUCCGCAAUGGACGAAAGUCUGACGGAGCAACGCCGCGUGAGUGAUGACGGCCUUCGGGUUGUAAAGCUCUGUUAAUCGGGACGCGGUACCGGAAUAGAAAGCCACGGCUAACUACGUGACAGCAGCCGCGGUAAUUC
rnacentral:rRNA from 1 species